rnacentral:lncRNA from 1 species
ACCCAUGAUCCCUCCUUCCUCCUCUUCUUCUUCACCUACUUCUCCUCCUCUUCCUCCAAGUCCGUUCAUACCUCCUCCUCCUUCGUGAUAGCUCCCUCCACCUCCACUCUUUCUUACCAGCAGCCCUUCUUUCUCUCUCAUCUCCUUUUGUCUCACCCAUUUUUUCUCCUUAUCUUUCUCCUCUAAGUCCAUCUAUGAGUGCUCUCUCUCCUUCUCCCUCUCCUUCCUCCUAACCCCU